GGCGUGCGGGUGCUAAUACAUGCAAGUCGAGCGAACUGAUUAGAAGCUUGCUUCUAUGACGUUAGCGGCGGACGGGUGAGUAACACGUGGGCAACCUGCCUGUAAGACUGGGAUAACUUCGGGAAACCGAAGCUAAUACCGGAUAGGAUCUUCUCCUUCAUGGGAGAUGAUUGAAAGAUGGUUUCGGCUAUCACUUACAGAUGGGCCCGCGGUGCAUUAGCUAGUUGGUGAGGUAACGGCUCACCAAGGCAACGAUGCAUAGCCGACCUGAGAGGGUGAUCGGCCACACUGGGACUGAGACACGGCCCAGACUCCUACGGGAGGCAGCAGUAGGGAAUCUUCCGCAAUGGACGAAAGUCUGACGGAGCAACGCCGCGUGAGUGAUGAAGGCUUUCGGGUCGUAAAACUCUGUUGUUAGGGAAGAACAAGUACAAGAGUAACUGCUCGUACCUUGACGGUACCUAACCAGAAAGCCACGGCUAACUACGUGCCAGCAGCCGCGGUAAUACGUAGGUGGCAAGCGUUAUCCGGAAUUAUUGGGCGUAAAGCGCGCGCAGGCGGUUUCUUAAGUCUGAUGUGAAAGCCCACGGCUCAACCGUGGAGGGUCAUUGGAAACUGGGGAACUUGAGUGCAGAAGAGAAAAGCGGAAUUCCACGUGUAGCGGUGAAAUGCGUAGAGAUGUGGAGGAACACCAGUGGCGAAGGCGGCUUUUUGGUCUGUAACUGACGCUGAGGCGCGAAAGCGUGGGGAGCAAACAGGAUUAGUCCC
rnacentral:rRNA from 2 species